rnacentral:rRNA from 1 species
CACGGGGGGAGCAAGCGUUGUUCGGAAUCACUGGGCGUAAAGGGCGUGUAGGCGGUCAAGUAAGUGGAAUGUGAAAUGCCCCGGCUCACCCGGGGACCUGCAUCCCGAACUGCUUGGCUUGAGUAUGGGAGAGGAUGAGGGAAUUCCUGGUGUAGCGGUGAAAUGCGUAGAUAUCAGGAGGAACACCAAUGGCGAAGGCAGCUCGCUGGGACGGUACUGACGCUGAGGCGCGAAAGCGUGGGGAGCAAACAGG